rnacentral:rRNA from 1 species
UACGAAGGGGGCUAGCGUUGUUCGGAAUUACUGGGCGUAAAGCGCACGUAGGCGGAUCGAUCAGUCAGGGGUGAAAUCCCAGGGCUCAACCCUGGAACUGCCUUUGAUACUGUCGAUCUGGAGUAUGGAAGAGGUGAGUGGAAUUCCGAGUGUAGAGGUGAAAUUCGUAGAUAUUCGGAGGAACACCAGUGGCGAAGGCGGCUCACUGGUCCAUUACUGACGCUGAGGUGCGAAAGCUAGGGGAGCAAACAGG